GACGAAAGUCUGACGGAGCAACGCCGCGUGAGUGAAGAAGGUUUUCGGAUCGUAAAGCUCUGUCUUCAGGGACGAAUGUGCUUAAUGUGAAUAAUGUUAAGUAAUGACGGUACCUGAGGAGGAAGCCACGGCUAACUACGUGCCAGCAGCCGCGGUAAUACGUAGGUGGCAAGCGUUGUCCGGAAUUAUUGGGCGUAAAGCGCGCGCAGGCGGGAAUGUAAGUCUGUCUUAAAAGUUCGGGGCUCAACCCCGUGAUGGGAUGGAAACUACAUUUCUUGAGUGCAGGAGAGGAAAGUGGAAUUCCUAGUGUAGCGGUGAAAUGCGUAGAUAUUAGGAGGAACACCAGUGGCGAAGGCGACUUUCUGGACUGUGUCUGACGCUGAGGCGCGAAAGCCAGGGGAGUGAACGGGAUUAGAUACCCCGGUAAUCCUGGCCGUAAACGAUGGGUACUAGGUGUAGGAGGUAUCGACCCCUUCUGUGCCGGAGUUAACGCAAUAAGUACCCCGCCUGGGGAGU
rnacentral:rRNA from 1 species